UUAAAAGUUUGAUUCUUUCUUUGAUCUUUAUGUUCCUAUUGAAAUUGUAUGAGAGUUAUAGUAAGUAUUUACUUUUAAUUUAAGAUAAAAAGUUGUGAAAAUUAGAAUAAAUAUAUGUAGUUCUAUGGAAACAUCAAUUC
rnacentral:rRNA from 1 species